UGGCCCAUGGUGUAACUGGCAACACGUCUGUUUUUGGUGCAGAAGAGUCUAGGUUCGAGCCUAGUGGGCCAA
rfam:Algibacter lectus DNA, contig: contig00006, strain: JCM 19300.